UCAUUUUUCCUAAUGUCUAUCCUCUGCUAGCUUCAUGAAGAUGACCUCUUUGAAUACUCUACAUAGUACCUGUGGAAAGCAAAUAAUAUGAUUAGUUUUGGAGAACAAUAGUUGGGUAAAUAAAAUAUGAUGCUAUUCUUUUCAUUGAAGAGUGAUGUGCCAGUGGAAAGUACCUAUAUGCAUGUCUUCACUCUUAACAAUCUCAUGCCACGGUUGCAUUCGCAAUCUAGGGAGAACUUUUCUCAGAUAAUGGGGAAAAGAUCAAACUUUCAAAUAAGAUUUAUUUUUCUCUCUGAUGAAUUUUUUGUAAUAACGAAAAAACUAUCAUAAGAUCUCUUUUCCUGGUCUGAUCAAUUUUUGUAAUAAUGAAGCAACUAUCAACUAUUGGAUGAAAUGAAUUACCCAAAAAUAUAGGGAGAAUUAUUUGAGUGAAGCUAUAAGAAAUGAAUAAAAUCAUCCAGUAAGUUAGUCCACAUGAAAUCAAUGAACAUACUUCUCAUGUCGCUGGCAGAUUACCUUUGAUAAACUAUAAGCAAAUAGUUAUAGUUUUCUUGUCAAGAAAGGCAAACAAAAUCCAUCAGGAGACGUUAACUUACCAUGGAAUUGUAUGUUUGUGUAUCUUGUCGACAGAAGGUCUUAGCAACUGUCAAGUUUGGCAACUAAGCAGUGCCAAGUAAUUUACUUCAUAAUUAUGCACUCUGACAGGUAGCAAUAGCAAGGUAUUCCAG
rnacentral:lncRNA from 1 species